CAACAACUGUAAGAAAACACAUUUAAGGAAUGAUUUAAUGGUCAGAAUCAUUGAUGUUUAGACAGAGCUGGCGUAAGAAAUUACUCUCAAGAGUGGUUUUUGUUACUGGUGCAAAAUCCAGGUUUCACAUGAAAGCAGGGGGAAAAGACUAUUUUUGAAAGGUUAAUGUUCUGAUGGAUAUGUCACUGGAACAGUAACAUGGAUGCAACAGACCUGACGUGGGGCAGUGCUCUGUUCAUAUAAAUGCCUGCAGUCAUACAAGCUCCAAACUGUCAGCCAUUUCUUGCAGCUAACAUUGUCAUUGCAUUACAGAUCACUCAUGCUGCAUGAGAAAAAUGAUUCAUGUGAUUUCAUUUGACAGCAAUCCCACUAAAUUAACAAAAAUGGCAGCUUAAAUCUUUCUUAGUUCUUAUGAAUGUAUUUGCUUUAACUUCUCAAGCAUUAUUUGGAGUGUGAAUUGUUCUUUCAUGUGUCAGAGACCCAUCACGCAGUGCUGCUUCAGCAGCAGUUUGUAGCAUAACUUCAUUUUAAAAUCAUUCUUUAUAUAAUUAAGGGAGAAAAAAACUCACAUGAGCCCUUAUGUAAGCGUUUUUCACCAGCUGAGUGUGUUAGUUGAUGUUGAAUAAGCACCCUGGUAUUUUGGGGGAGGAAGCAAGUACACAGUAGCAUUUCCAUGCCUUCACCUGCCUCUUCUAGCACCUAUUUUGCUACAGCUGCCUCUUGCACCAAUGCCUUUUUUCUGCCUCCAGGUCUCUUCUAUAGGCAGAGUCCUUGUGGAAUAGGUGUGUGGCUGUGCUGGAGUCCACAGGGCCAACCCCACACCUCACCUUUGCUCAAACUGGCUGCCCAGUUAUCACCAAUAGCACAUGUGCUGUCACCUGCUCUGCAGGGGCAAAGGAGCCGCAGCAGUCAAACAAAGAUAUCAUCAAGUGUAUCUUUAACUUCCCGGGGGGGUUUUCGUAACAACCCUUUGGAAGUACUGAGUGAGAAAGGGAGAACUGCUGAUCUCUGCAGUACUCCUGCAAAUGGCUACUGCUGGUAACAUGCUUAAAACUGCUCAAACUGAAAGUGAGAACAUUUGGACAGUUGCUUUCACCUCUCCCUAAGUAUAGCACGCUUCAAAAGGUACCUGCAUGAGCACCGUUACAUUACUUUUGUUGGGUUUUUUGUUGUUGUUCUUUUUUUUUUGUUUGUUUUGUUAGGAGAGAAAAUACUGUUAUCAUCAUGCAGUCUAAUCUCCUACAUAACAGACCAACAUACCUAUUGCCCAGCUGUACAAGAGCCCUAGAAUUUUCCUUAUAGCCCAUCUUGUAAGAAAGUACAUAGUUUGUUUAAAGAACUUUAGUGAUAGAUCCUCUUUCUAGUUGCCAGGUAAGGUUAAAUAUUUUCUAGAGGUAAAUCCUUUAUCUCAAGAAAGUGUACCUUUGCUUUUAGGUUGCUUUUUUUCUGCUUCUAAGCUGGACUAUUGUUAUGUUACUACAUCAUAAACUAACAGAGUAAGACAAUUUCCUAUAUGCACAAUUAUGUUAUUAACAGAAGCUGUUUAUUGAUAACUUGUUCUUUAGUAUUAUAUCACACCUCUAAGGCAAAACCAAUUUCCUAAUGAGCUGCUUGUGUCAGAACCUCAAGGCUGAUGGUUUUGUCUUCAUACAGCUUGUGACUUCAGAAGUGCUGUCCCAAGCCCCAGCACAGAACAAGUGAUUUUUUCCAGUAACCCUGAAAGCACUGGAAGUGUACAGACUGAAAAUCACUGCUGUUGUCUCUGUGAACCCUUCUUUUGUCAGCUCCAUGUUCAAUAGUCUGCACUGGAUCUGUGCAAAAGAUCUAAUGGAGAAGAGCGAUGCUACAGAAAGAAACCCUGCUCAAGGAACCUAGUUCGGGAUUGGUCUCCUAAAUAAAAGCUGUUCCAAGAACAGUUAAGAAAAUCUGUGAAUAUAAUGCAUACAAUGAUGUUAAAAACAUGCAUCCAAAAAAAAUAGCUUCUAAUUUGUAACACAAAAAUGUAUUGUAUACUUGCUUCUUUAUGUUUUUGUCACUUCAUGCCUUCAUGUUAUUUUUUCCCUUCUAUCUCCUCCGCAUUCUCUUCAUUUUUACAAUCACAGUCUGGUCUAAAUUAGCAAUAUUGUUUAAAAAAGUUAUUCACAAGAGAACACUGCAGUGAGGUUUACUUGUAUGAGUUCCUUGAUUAACCAUCAUUCUAUUUUCUAUUUCAACUAACUUGGAGUGACUCUUCCCUUGAGAUCUGACAUUUUAAUUAAUAUAGUCUGCAUCUAUUAUAUAUUAAUAUAUCCUAUUACAAUAUUUAUAUAUUAUGUUCUUUCUCACACUUCUUGAGUCAAGAACAAACUGUCUCGCGUAGAAGGCAUGGCUAGAGCCAAGUACUGUUUUGACAUAAUGAUAUGCUAAUGAUAUACUGCGAUUGUUAUUUAGCCUGUAGCAACAAACAGCCUACAGACUGAUGGUUUUCAUGGCUGCCAUUUGCUUAUGAAGCCAUAAGGUCUAGUGAGGAAGGGCUGCUUCCACCUCAGUACUCCCAAGAAGGCAGAUUGGUUGAUGCUGGACUUUAUUCAGGGCUACCUUCAGUGUGGCAGCCUUGUGGGGAGCUAGCAGUACAAAUAACGAGUGUGAAAAAGCAAUUAAAAAGUUUGAAA